CCUACGGGUGGCUGCAGUGGGGAAUAUUGCACAAUGGGGGAAACCCUGAUGCAGCGAUGCCGCGUGGAGGAAGAAGGUUUUCGGAUUGUAAACUCCUUUUAUCAGGGACGAUAAUGACGGUACCUGAAGAAAAAGCUCCGGCUAACUACGUGCCAGCAGCCGCGGUAAUACGUAGGGAGCGAGCGUUGUCCGGAUUUAUUGGGUUUAAAGGGUGCGUAGGCGGAAUAUCAAGUCAGCGGUAAAAAUUCGGGGCUCAACCCCGUCGUGCCGUUGAAACUGAUGUUCUUGAGUGGGCGAGAAGUAUGCGGAAUGCGUGGUGUAGCGGUGAAAUGCAUAGAUAUCACGCAGAACUCCGAUUGCGAAGGCAGCAUACCGGCGCCCAACUGACGCUGAAGCACGAAAGCGUGGGUAUCGAACAGGAUUAGAUACCCCAGUAGUC
rnacentral:rRNA from 1 species